rfam:Oryza glaberrima chromosome 6 Oglab06_0030_1, whole genome shotgun sequence.
AAUAAGUGUAGUUUUAUACUGUUCAUAUCCAAUGUUUGACCGUUCGUCUUGUUUGAAAUUUUUUUUAUGAUUAGUAUUUUAAUGUUUUUAGAUGACAAAACAUGUAUAGUACUUUAUGUGAGACUAUUUUUUAAAAAAAAACAUAAAAUUUUUAAAUAAGACGAACAGUCAAACAUUAAUCACGGAUACCCACGGUUGCACUUAUU